AAGCGGAGGAAAAGAAACCAACAGGGAUUGCCUUAGUAGCGGCGAGUGAAGCGGCAAAAGCUCAAAUUUGAAAUCUGGCUCUUUCAGAGUCCGAGUUGUAAUUUGAAGAAGGUAUCUUUGGGUCUGGCUCUUGUCUAUGUUUCUUGGAACAGAACGUCACAGAGGGUGAGAAUCCCGUGCGAUGAGAUGAUCCAGGCCUAUGUAAAGUUCCUUCGAAGAGUCGAGUUGUUUGGGAAUGCAGCUCUAAGUGGGUGGUAAAUUCCAUCUAAAGCUAAAUAUUGGCGAGAGACCGAUAGCGAACAAGUACAGUGAUGGAAAGAUGAAAAGAACUUUGAAAAGAGAGUGAAAAAGUACGUGAAAUUGUUGAAAGGGAAGGGCUUGAGAUCAGACUUGGUAUUUUGUAUGUUACUUCUUCGGGGGUGGCCUCUACAGUUUAUCGGGCCAGCAUCAGUUUGGGCGGUAGGAGAAUUGCGUUGGAAUGUGGCACGGCCUCGGUUGUGUGUUAUAGCCUUCGUCGAUACUGCCAGCCUAGACUGAGGACUGCGGUUUAUACCUAGGAUGUUGGCAUAAUGAUCUUAAGUCGCCCGUCUUGAA
rnacentral:rRNA from 1 species